GUAUUAUGGUGUAUUGUGUGUAGAUUGAUGAGGACAUUUUUUUAUUUAAUCAAUUUUAGAAUAUGGGUAUAAUGUAAGAMAAUGUGGAAAAAGGGGACGGGGUCUGAAUACUUUCUGAAUGCACAGUAUGUGUACAUUUAUUUUGCAACAUCAGCGGAGUGGUUAGCAUGUUAGCUCCCUUUAAAAAAGCAUGUGUAUAUUUUGUGAUUCUUGUCAUUCUUUGAGUUUGUCUUUGUGCAUUCUUGUUGAUUGUAGRCCUGGGUAAGUCCUUUGAUGUAUGCCUUUUUAUUUCAAUGCAUGUGUAGUAUUUAUCGAGCAUAGUUUGCAUUUGUCGUCAGCUGUUUAAUGCACUGGUUACUUUCACAUUGAUUUGAAGUCGGCCUKGUGCAGGUACUGUAUGCAGGUUGUUUAUUGGUGCUCUCAGAAAUGAUGUCUUCUUAUUGCAGCUUAAACAUGUAAAUGUGGGUGAAGUCCUACUCAAUAGCUGACAGAAUGGUUAAUACACAGACUUGUACUUUAAGAGGGGUUAUUUCUCACUCUGUUAAACCUAAUACAUAAGAUACAGAACCAUGGAUCAACUUGAAAAAUACAAUUAUAAUUUUUUUUACUCCUCAGGAAUUUGGUUGUGGAAGAAAAAGAAAGGAUAUCCCCAAGACACCUGGAUCAACUUUUUGAGAAAGUAUUUUGGUAGAAUGUUUGUUAAAUGCAGUGAUUGAGUCCAGCCAGAACAAG